GACGAACGCUGGCGGCGUGCUUAACACAUGCAAGUCGAGCGGUAAGGCCCUUUCGGGGUUACACGAGCGGCGAACGGGUGAGUAACACGUGGGUGACCUGCCCUCAGCUCUGGGAUAAGCCUGGGAAACCGGGUCUAAUACUGGAUAUGACUCCAUGACGCAUGUUGUGGGGUGGAAAGCCUUGUGCGGCUGAGGAUGGGCCCGCGGCCUAUCAGCUUGUUGGUGGGGUGANGGCCUACCAAGGCGACGACGGGUAGCCGGCCUGAGAGGGCGACCGGCCACACUGGGACUGAGACACGGCCCAGACUCCUACGGGAGGCAGCAGUGGGGAAUCUUGCGCAAUGGGCGAAAGCCUGACGCAGCGACGCCGCGUGAGGGAUGACGGCCU
rnacentral:rRNA from 1 species